UGCUGGAGGUAUCAGAAGUGCGAAUGCUGACAUAAGUAACGAUAAAGCGGGUGAAAAGCCCGCUCGCCGGAAGACCAAGGGUUCCUGUCCAACGUUAAUCGGGGCAGGGUGAGUCGACCCCUAAGGCGAGGCCGAAAGGCGUAGUCGAUGGGAAACGGGUUAAUAUUCCCGUACUUGGUGUUACUGCGAAGGGGGGACGGAGAAGGCUAUGUUGGCCGGGCGACGGUUGUCCCGGUUUAAGCGUGUAGGUGUGUGUUCCAGGUAAAUCCGGUUCACUUUAACACUGAGGCGUGACGACGAGGCACUACGGUGCUGAAGCAACAAAUGCCCUGCUUCCAGGAAAAGCCUCUAAGCAUCAGGUAACAUCAAAUCGUACCCCAAACCGACACAGGUGGUCAGGUAGAGAAUACCAAGGCGCUUGAGAGAACUCGGGUGAAGGAACUAGGCAAAAUGGUGCCGUAACUUCGGGAGAAGGCACGCUGACACGUAGGUGAAGUGAUUUACUCAUGGAGCUGAAGUCAGUCGAAGAUACCAGCUGGCUGCAACUGUUUAUUAAAAACACAGCACUGUGCAAACACGAAAGUGGACGUAUACGGUGUGACGCCUGCCCGGUGCCGGAAGGUUAAUUGAUGGGGUCAGCGCAAGCGAAGCUCCUGAUCGAAGCCCCGGUAAACGGCGGCCGUAACUAUAACGGUCCUAAGGUAGCGAAAUUCCUUGUCGGGUAAGUUCCGACCUGCACGAAUGGCGUAAUGAUGGCCAGGCUGUCUCCACCCGAGACUCAGUGAAAUUGAACUCGCUGUGAAGAUGCAGUGUACCCGCGGCAAGACGGAAAGACCCCGUGAACCUUUACUAUAGCUUGACACUGAACAUUGAGCCUUGAUGUGUAG
rnacentral:rRNA from 3 species